AGGACAGGCAACAGGUACAUGAAGAGACAGCAGAAGCAAUUUUGUGCCACCCAAGGAUGAUCUCAAUCCUGGUUAACCAAGAAAGUACCCACCAGCUCUGCUCAGAACAAUUCUGCUGCUGCCGGAUCUAUCAAGUUUUACUUGUUAUCUCUUGGCAAGAAAUACCAAUGUCAAAUAGAUGAGCCGACUCUGACAGCCAGUGACAUCCCAGGAGCUAGAGAGUCCACCCAUACAGCAAACAGAUGGGCCAUAUGAGGACUGAGAGCUCAUGAGAUUGCUUGGAGCUGAGCAAGUGGGGAUUGCUGCAGGGAGGGCCAGGGCAAGAAAUGCCUACUGUGCCUAGCUGAUAAGUCUAAAAGGACGUAGGCCCAGUGGAGGCCAAAGCUGAGCCAUAUUCGGGUUUAUAGAGCAUUUGUGGAAAUUAGAGCUUAAUAAUAUAUAUUAAGGACUGUUGUGCAACAACCACAAUGAAAUAUUCAUCCCACUCAUAAGAUUCAGAGGAAUAAAAUAAACGUCCCCCAGGGACAACCUGCAAUGUUGGAGAAAUGUUAAUGGCGCCUUCCGAUCUCAGAAAGUACUCUGCAGUCUUAAAAUAGAACAACCUAAAGGUGACAGUGAUCUUCUGAGAAGGGGCAAAAGGAGGGGACACGGCAUAGGGAUUCCGAAUACCUGAUAACAGAGCCCCAGCCGUCCCUGGGAGAAGAGCCAACCACCAAGGUCAGGCCAUGGAUCUCAAAACAGCCCUGAGGAUAGCUGUGCCUCCGAGAUCAGGCUAAACUGCCCUGGGGUGACUCAGCUGAAGCUUGGAGACCUUAUGCAACUUGACCAAGUUCCCAUGGUGGCUAAAAUUAUGUAGUGGAUGCUGUGCUACGCUGACCAGAUGCCACUUUCAGGAUUGAGGGACACAGUCCCCCAGAUGCUGGGGAUGCUCUCAGCUGUUAGCCUCGAGACAUUUCCCUUGGCUGAAGACAGCCUCCUCUCCCAAGGUCUUGACAGCACUCCCUAAUAAACUUCCUGCGUGAUAGAAACAGAGAGGGAGAGAGAGAGAGAGAAAAAGAAAACAGGAAAACAGUACCCUUUCCUGGAUUCUUUACUUCCACCCGCCAGAAAAAUUGUCGAAACAACUAUAUAAAUAUAUGAGUGGGAUUUGGAAGGCGCCCCUUGAAGUUGUGCAGUGUACAACCUGCACAAAGAAGCAGUGGCUCGGUGUCAACCCCAUCUCACUCCUCUGCUUUUGGGGGUCCCCAGCACCAUUCAGCUGGAUUGAUUGACGAGUGUCCACUUGACCUUAACCAGUGCCUGAGCCAGCCUUCACAGGGAGGGAAGCAUGUCAGUUGCCUCAGCCACAUCACACAGUAGAACUUAGAAGUCAUUCCUUGUGUCCACCAGAUCUGGAAGGUGAGAAGCUAGGAGGGAGCUCUGAGGGCUCCCUAGAGACUUUCCCUCCUCAGCUUUGUGGCCUCGAUUUUACUCCUGGCCCUAACACCUUCCCAGAUCGUGCUCAGCUCUUUGGGCAUGAUUCUGUUUCCCCAGCCUCUCUUGGCCCCAAGUCACUCUCUCUCACUUUGGUCUUAAGCUGCUGUAUUUCCCAGAAUGCAUUUUGCCCAUGUCAAAUGUGAAAUAAAGUUCCUGGAAUAUCUGGGAUAUCUGGGAUCAUGCCUGGCAUCUCCUAACACCAACACAAAAGAAGCCCUAUAUGGGGCAAAAUAA
ensembl:lncRNA